rnacentral:lncRNA from 1 species
GAGGGAGGGAGGGGUGAGAGGCAGAUAUAGUCCCCAGGGGUUGACCUACUUUAUCCAACCAUGCCCCCACCUGCCUGCAGUUCCUUCCUCCUCCCAGUAGUUCAUUCAAACUAUUAGCCUAUGAUGGAUCAACCCACUGUUGAGGUUAGAGCCCACAUGAUCCACUCAAAACAAACCCUCUGGAGCUCUCUUUCCUUGGCACAACCAGGAGUGGGACACAAUGCUGGUUUUAUUGGAAAGAGUCCCUGAGCAACGGGAUAAAUAGAGUCCCCCUUUCUCCACCAAUCCACAAUAUAGAUGAGCAAGAAGCAAACUUUGGUUUCUUAAUUUAAAUCACUAAGAUUUUGGAGUUGCUUGUUACUGUAUCAUCAUCUAGACUCUUCUGAAUGGUAAGCACAGUAAUAUUUAGCUGAAUUUCUUUGUGAUCUCAUGAUCUAAUUUAAAAUGUUCACAGAAAAUUCAUCUCUUCUCCUCACACAUUGUUUAUGAACCUGGCAAAUGACAGACAUGCCUUUUCAGGUUUCCUGGGCUUCAGUAUGUGACAAUGCAACAGUGCUCCCUGGGUACAAAGCAGUUACGGACUUCAUGAAUGCUGUGGUUUGAUUGUGGUCUGCCCCUUAUGGGUCAUCUGCUGGAAGCUGGGUCCCCAAUGUGACUGCAUUAGAGGUGGUGAAACCUUUAAUAGGUGGGACCUAGUGGGAGAUGGUUAGACCACUGAGGUCACUGCCCUUAGAAAGGACUGAUACCAUUCUCAUGAGACUCCAACUUUUUCUAGUGGGAACAAGUUAUAAAUGAGCAGGCCUGACCCCCAAAGUUCCCUGGCUUCCUGUGUUCCCUGGGACCGCUUCUACUUCUACUACUGUAACACCACCAACAUGAGGUCCUUACCAGAUGGAGCAGAAGAUGGACCUUCAGAACUGUGAACCAAAUAAACCUCUUUUUUAAAACAAAUUACCAAACCUCAAG